AGGAUUCUCUCAGUAACGGCGAGUGAACAGAGAAUAGCCCAGCACCGAAGCCUACUCGCGUUUGUGAGCAAGGCAAUGUGGUGUUACGAUGCUUGCCUGGGGCGAUCGGUCCAUUCGAAGUCCAGCAUAGAUUAUGGCUCUGGAUAUUGCUCAAAGCGGGUGAAAGGCCCGUGCGGAUGGACAUCAGGCAUGUUGAUCGCCCUCAGAUGCAUUCAUUGUGGAGUCGGAUAGCUUGAGAAUGCUGUCCAAAGUGGGUGGUAAACUCCAUCCAAGGCUAAAUACUGGCACGAAUCCGAUAGCUUACAAGUACCGUGAGGGAAAGUUGAAAAGCACUCUGAAGAGAGAGUAAAUAGUACGUGAAGCCGCCUGUAGGGAAGCUGGAGGAGUCAAGCCGCAUGCUUGGGGAAUCAAGCCAGUGAUGGUUGUGUGGAUUGUGGAGCUGGGUGGCCGGUGGGCUUGUAAAUAGUCCGGUGGUUCAUUUCGUCCCGUGAGCGUACUGGUUGGUGCGUGCGGGGCCGGUCACCUUAUGCUUUCGUCACUGGUGUGGUUUCCUCAUUGCAGACAUCACGAUCGGUAGUGCUGUUGACAUUGGGUGGUCAAACUGUCAGGGCGUGGGCUCAUGCUCACCCCUGGCGGGAUGGCAGUUGGCUCGCCUUGUGGCCUCGGCUGCUUGGUGGGUUCUUCUCGGCUGUGGCCGGCUGAUCACCCUGUUGUGCUUUCAGUCAUGCAGAGUACCGGUGUUGUGUGUGAGCUGGGCCUUUGUCUGGUGUCGUGUUGGCGAUGCCGGUGCGUUUGCCAUGCGAGUGGUGCGUGCCGGUGUGUCUGUUGGCGCGGCGCUUGGCGAUAGUCUGGCUUGUGAAUCGUGGUGUGGUGGUAGA
rnacentral:rRNA from 1 species